ensembl:lncRNA
AUUUCCAAACAUAUUACAGGAGUUCAAAUGUAUGCCCUGCCUAUCCUGUGCAGCUUAAGGGAAGUGAAGGAAGAUGACUCCAUCCCCGUGGAAUAUCACCAGCACAGCAGAGGAUCAUUACAAGGUCUUCAAAGACUUCUCCACCUUAUCUGUCUGAUCAGACAACAGCUGGCAGGUCAGCCAAGGGAGAUGAAUGCUCCUCUCAGCUGAAGUAUUGGCUCAAGAAGCAUCAUCUAUAUGCACAGUCUUCAAAGAAGAGCUCAUAACAUUCCCUGUUCCUGUGAAGAAACAUUUAGAGAGCGAAGUCUACUGGUGUAGAACUGAAGCAGCGUUUGCUCUGGAAGAGGUCAAGUUUCUGGCUUUCCAAAUGCUCUCUCUGCAGAUCCUGGGAGAUGCUGUCCUCUCAAGGGGCUUAAGUUUCCUCCUGGAUGUUCACCCACAAAAGGAGCUUCAUGCAUACACUAUGUGUAAUCAGUGGAGUCGGACGAAGCAAGGAGUGACCCAAUUUGCCAAAGCCAACGCACUAGGCAGCUACCACCUUAAUUACCUACUGAGUGUCUCAGUUUAGGUGAUGUGACAAUUUUCCAGCAAUAACAAUUAUCAUUCCGGGCUGCAAUUCACUUUUUGGUGGGUUUGUCAUGGCCUUCCAGAUAAAAUAUGCAUGAGCACACCCUGCCCAUCUUCCACAACCAGCCUUCGCUUACCAGUAGGGUCAUAGUUGGCAGCAGUGUGUUUUCCAUCCUUACUACAGCAAUAUGUCAUGGUGGAGAGCUUACUUGCAAGAGCCCUCUAGACUUGUUCUUGGUACUAUUUUCUAGAUCUGUCUUCAUCCAUAUUUUACUGGCAAACAGUAUAGAACAAAUGUAAGUCUAAUGCAGAGCUUAAAGAAAAAAUUGAAACAGAGAUGCAGACAGAGAAGAUUAUGAACAUUGUAUUUUUUUUUGAGUUUGUCUCAUUCCUUAAGCUGUCUUCAGCAAUUUCUGCAAGAAAAUAGUGUUAUUAGUUUGAGUAGUAUUACAGUAGCAUUCACCUAAUGAUUUUUAGAAAAUGGUUACAGAGAUAUCUAUUUGUAUGUGUGUGUAUACGUGGAAGAGAAAUAUGCCAUUUGCAUGAAACAUCCUGUCUAUAGCCGUAUCCAGUUAGUAUCUAAAGACUGUUUAUAGACUCAGUUGUACUCUGUUGGUGCUAAAAUUGAUUUCUUGGCUGAAUUAUUCUGCAAUAGGAUAAACCCACUAAUUGUGCACGUAAAUAAAAUUGAAUUUUAACAAAUUGACUUUUAUUUU